AUUUCUAUUACCAUCAUUUAAUACCACCAGCCAAAUGGGCUAUAAAAAUAUAAUACUAUUCACGAUUCAAUAAUGAACAGUACUUUUCACUUUAGUUGAGAAGUUGCCACGUGUAUAGGGAACGCCUGAGAUUAAUCCACGCAAUUGUCUCCUUCUCACGUUCUCUCAGCGAAUUCACAGUUCUCUCGCUAUUCCCUUUCACUCCUUAUUCUCCCUCUUCUCUUUCCCCUUCUUACUAACCUUGAAGAACGGGCUUCUUCUUGCUUUCUUCUAAAUUUAUUAUCUACGUUCCCUCCAUCUUCUUCUUAGUUCAGAUCUUGAUAUGGCAAAGGAAGUGUUGAUGAAGACAAGCUUAGUUUAAUUUAUGUUCAAGAUAAAAGCCUAGAUUAAGUCAGAUUUAGGGUUUUUUAAAGCUAUUUAUUAUUUUUGGGCUUUUAUGUUAAAUCAUCUUUUUUGGUUGAGAAGCUGCGUUGAUUUGUUUUAAAAAAAUCAUAUUUAGAUUUUUGAGUUUCUUUUGAUUUGUGGAAAUUGAAAAAAAUCAGACUUAGGUAUUUUAUAAGAAAUUUUGAUUGGGUUUUUAUGUUAAAGGUGAUGGGUGGAAGAAUUCGAAAGAUUUUGACAAAGCUCUAGUUAAAUAUGAAGCUCGGCUUGAGAAUGGAACAUUGGUGUCUAAGUCUGGUGGAGUGGAAUUCAUUGUCAAAGAUGGUUGGCUCCAAUCCAUAAUAAAUGAUUUCAUACAACAUUGGACAGGAAUUACCCACUUUUAAUGGCUACAUGGAAAAUUGCUCCAGCUCUUUAAGCCAUCAUAAUUGGCAUCUGUGGUCUGCCUAGAAUUCGGUGAAGUUUGCAACGAAGUCGGUCUUCCUCCAGGCGUGUUGAAUAUUUUCUUCAUGCUUUCACAAUGCUUCUUUUUGAGUUGAAUUGGGUUUCUUAAUAAAGACAGUGUUAUGGAGAAUGAACCCAGACCUUGUGCUGCUGUCAAAGGAACUCAGAUUAUGGACGUCGAAAGUUUUUCUCUGCACAUGUCCAAAUCAUCUGAACCAAUUCCCAAUGGUUCAGAGAACACUAAAUAAGAAAACAAUGCUGAGUCCAUGAUAAAGGAUAGCAACACCAGCUCAGGACAAGAAUUUAGCACCAGCAGGACGCAUAAUCUCAUCAGCAGAGACAGGAAGCAUAAAUAUCUACCAGUUGCCCUGGGAACUGACAUAGAGCCAAGUAGGGUGAUAGAAGAAGCUGAGUCAUGGACUGGAAGUGACACCCUGCCAUGUAAAGAUGACAAGGAGCUCAAGUAGGAUUGGAACAAGUUGCAUGGGCCGCAAACUAAAGGAUCUAAAACAAUUUUGCAGGUCGAAGAAUCCCUGCAGGUUGAAGAGAAGUCCCUGUAGGAUGAGAAUAAGAUCUUGCAGGAUGAAAGAAUCAGGACGAUAUAUCCUGAAAAACGCAUUCUAAAUUGGUAUCAGAGCAUGGUUGAAGAGGGCGUGACAAAUCAAGAAAGUUCAACUAUAGACACCAUCAUACGAAUCUGGUAAGAUCUUCUGUGAUUUUUUUAGGACUAGAAGAAUAUUGCAUGCAGACGAUCAGGUAUCUUUGAAAUUUGCCUACAUUUCUAAUUUCACAUUUUGAUUGUAUUUUCAUUAUAAGUAUUGAUUCUUGACAUUCGUUGCAUUUUGCGCUUGUUUUGCAUAACUGUUGAGUUUUGAAAUUGGAAAAUUGAUCUCUGUUUUUGUUUGUGUACGGAUUUUGGAGUGCAUUCUAGACUUUUCUGUGCUAUAAUCACUUUAGUAAGUUUACAUAGAUUGCAUCUAGUUGCACAGUUCUUUUUCUUUUUUUGUGAUAUGUGAUUCAAGAUUGUUGAAACUUAAGAAUUUACUUGUUGUUUUACCUGUUCUUUUCUUGUCGAUAUUGUAUUCUUUGUUGUUGUUCUUGGUUUAUCUCUCGUCUUUCAAUAUGAAUGCUGAAGAGAGGAGAUUAUUGUUAGAGGAAACCAUGUUAAUAAUGGAUCAAAGAAUAGCUGAGUUGAGGAUUCAGGAUAGGAACAAUGGAAACACUGAGGAUAAAAGUCUAAGGAUACAUGUUUCGGAGUUUACUGGUCAGGGUUAGAACCCUGAGGAGUAUCUUGACUGGGAGGGUAGCUUAGAGGAUUAUUUUGUGUAUAAGGACACCCUCUUAGAUAAACAAUAUAAGAUAGCCAAGGUUAAACUUACCAAAAUGGCUGCAACUUGGUUAGAAGGUUUACAGAGGCAAAGAGUCAGGGAAGGAAAAGGUAGUAUGUCCUAGGAAAUUACAACUAACAACUUUCCAUGAAAUGGAACUCUUUGACCUAAGGGAAUAGGUCAGUAGCUCAGUACAAUCAAGAUUGGGAGACUCUCUGUGCUUCGUGACAUCAUUGACUUAGAAGACAUGAGAGUAAGGAAAUUCUUGACUGGACUGAGGGAGGACUUAAGAGUGCAGAUUUGCUAAAUUCCUAACCUCAUAGUGGCUUUAGUAGUAUGCUAUGCUAAACUCUUAGAAUAGUAUUCUAGGAAAAGACCAACAUUAGUUACAGGGCAGUCUUUUGCUAGAAAUAGUUCCACCACUACAACCAAAAGCACUAACACUACACCCCCUUUUAGGUAGAACAAUAACCAGGUGAAGAGUAAGAAUUUGACCCCUAUAAAAGACAUAGUCUAUUUUAAGUGUCAUGGACAUGGUCACUUCAAAGCUAAUUUUUCUAACAAUAGAGCCUUCACUUUGAGGGAGUGGGAAUAAAUUAACAGUAGAGGCAAACCUAAGAUCAUUCUUGUCAGUAUCAAUGGUAGGGAGGAAGAAAGAGGAACCAUAACUACAAACUUAGAUCUUGAUGGCACCUAUAUUCAGAAGGAAUUUGGGGAAGUUAUACCUUAUACCUCUGAUUCAGAUACUGAUAAAGAACAACUGCUUCCUGAAGAAGAUUGGCACAAGACCUUAGUGGUUAGAAGAAGCUUUCAUUGUACAUUGUUCAUUGUUUAUUGUUCAUCGUUCUUUGUUUAUUAGUUAUUCUUCAUUGAUAAUUGAUCCUUGUUCGUUUUUCAUCGUUCAUUGUUCAUUGAUUAUUGAUCCUUGUAUAUUAUUCAUCGUUCAUUCUUCAUUGAACGUUGAUCCUUCUUCAUUGUUCAUUGAACAUUGACUCUUUUUCAUUGUUCAUCAUUCAUUGCUUAUUGUUCAUUGUUCAUUGAUCUAUGUUCAUUGUUCAUCAUUCAUUGUUCGUUGUUCAUUGAUCCUUGUUCAUACUUUAUUGUUCAUCGUUUAUUGUUCAUUGAUCAUUGACCCUUGUUCAUAGUUCAUUGUUAAUCGUUCAUUGUUCAUUGAUCAUUGAUCGUUGUUCAUUUUUUAUCGUUCAUUAUUCAUGGAUCAUUAAUCCAUGUUCAUUGUUCAUUUUUUGUUCAUCAUUCAUUUUUAAUUGAUCAUUGAAUCUUGUUUAUUAUUCAUCAUUCAAUGUUCAUUUUUCAUGGUUUAUUCAUCACUGAUCAUUGAUCGUCGUUCAUUGUUCAUCGUUCGUUGUUCAUUAAUCAUUGAUCCUUGUUCAUUGUUCCUCGUUCAUUAUUCGUAGAACAUUGAUCCUUGUUCAUUGUUAAUUGUUUAUUUUUCAUUAAUCAUUGAUCCUUAUCCACUGUUGAUCGUUUAUUAUUCAAGGAACAUUGAUCCUUGUUCAUUAUUUAUCAUUCAUUGUUCAUUGUUCAUUGUUCAUUGUUCAUUGUUCAUACUUCAUUGUUCAUCGUUCAUCGUUCAUUGUUCAUUGAUCAUUGAUUCUUGUUCAUAGUUCAUUGUUAAUCGUUCAUUGUUCAUUGGACAUUGAUCAUUGUUUAUUGUUCAUCGUUCAUUAUUCAUGGAUCAUUGAUCCAUGUUCAUUGUUCAUCAUUUUUUGUUCAUCAUUCAUUUUUAAUUGAUCAUUGAAUCUUGUUUAUUAUUCAUCAUUCAAUGUUCAUUUUUCAUGGUUUAUUCAUCAUUGAUUAUUGAUCCUUGUUCAUUGUUCAUUAAUCAUUGAUCCUUGUUCAUUGUUCAUCAUUC